CAGUAGCCGCGGUAAUACGAAGGGGGCUAGCGUUGUUCGGAAUUACUGGGCGUAAAGGGCGCGUAGGCGGCCAUUCAAGUUAGAUGUGAAAGCCCUGGGCUCAACCUAGGAAUUGCAUUUGAUACUGUUUGGCUUGAGUUCGGGAGAGGUGAGUGGAAUUCCCAGUGUAGAGGUGAAAUUCGUAGAUAUUGGGAAGAACACCAGUGGCGAAGGCGGCUCACUGGACCGACACUGACGCUGAGGCGCGAAAGCGUGGGGAGCAAACAGGAUUAGAUACCCGAGUAGUCCCUGUCUCUUAUAU
rnacentral:rRNA from 1 species